rnacentral:snRNA from 1 species
GUGCUCACUUCAGCAGCACAUAUAGUAAAAACUGGAAUGAUACAGAGAAGAUUAAUAUGGCCCCUGCACAAAAGAUGACUUGCAAAGAGAAAGGCCACAAGCAACA